rnacentral:misc_RNA from 1 species
CCCUCCCCCUCAAAAAACACAUCCCUAAAUUCAUCUAUAUUUCUUUUCAAGAGGCUGCGCACCAAUAAUUUGUGAUAUUUCAAGUGUUGGAGAAUUUGACAUAUCACACUACGUGUUAUGACCGCGUCAUCCCACAUCCCUACAAACAUCUAUAUUAUUUUUCACCAAGUGUUGGAGAAUUUGCCCACGCGUCGCUCAGAUUUGUCCCUCCCGCUCAGAAACACAUCCCAAAAAUCAUCGAUAUUAUUUUUCAUAGUCAGAGGCUGCGAUGCUGAUGACGCCUUCACCAUGCUUAGGCGGUAGUGGGGUAGUACGUACUCAGGAGGGAAAAAAAAAA